rnacentral:rRNA from 1 species
GUGUCAGCAGCCGCGGUAAUACGGAGGGGGCUAGCGUUGUUCGGAAUGACUGGGCGUAAAGCGCGCGUAGGCGGAUCAUCAAGUCGGGGGUGAAAUCCCGGGGCUCAACCCCGGCACGGCCUUCGAGACUGGUGGUCUUGAGUUCGAGAGAGGUGAGUGGAAUUCCGAGUGUAGAGGUGAAAUUCGUAGAUAUUCGGAGGAACACCAGUGGCGAAGGCGGCUCACUGGCUCGACACUGACGCUGAGGUGCGAAAGCGUGGGGAGCAAACAGGAUUAGAAACCCGCGUAGUCC